rnacentral:lncRNA from 1 species
AACGGCUGCUUUAAUGGGACAGCAAACACAUCUCUGAAACGCUUAUAAGAGAGGGAAAAAACACAAGAAAGCAAAAGAAAGGAGCUUAGUAAUGGCAGCAGCACAUGAUCGACAACCUGCUUGUUUCUUUAUCUCUCCAAUCAAGUCUUUUGAAGCUCGCGAUCGACAAUCACGUCUUGUUUCUUUAUCUCUGUACAAGAAUAAAUCAGGGUUCUAAUCAGAUGGCAUGCACAAUUGAAAAGCGAAAAUGGGUUUAAAUUCUGUGUUCCAUUGAUUGAAUUUUGGUUUCCUUUUUCUCUGGGAAACAUAGGUGAAGUAAUUUCAUUCUCCCCACGUAAUCCAUACGGGAGAACUUUCAAUGGCAAUCGUCCAGACUCCAAACCAAGGACAGAUGCUUGAUUGACAUUGAUGGCGAUUUUCAUGAGUACAUCUGUAUGUGUUGCAGAUGCAAGAGGAAAAAUUAAUUACUUACUUCAGCUCAACAACGGCCAGCGUCGUUCGAGGAUAAUCCCUGAAGAGCGCGUAUAUCCUGAAAUAGGGCCAUGAACAAAUCGAUGAAGGCGUAUGAUGUC